rnacentral:misc_RNA from 1 species
GAUGAAGAACGUAGCGAAAUGCGAUAAGUAAUGUGAAUUGCAGAAUUCAGUGAAUCAUCGAAUCUUUGAACGCACAUUGCGCCCCUUGGUAUUCCGAGGGGCAUGCCUGUUCGAGCGUCAUUAUAACCCCUCAAGCUCAGCUUGGUGUUGGGGCCUGCUGCACUGCAGCCCUUAAAAUCAGUGGCGGCGCCAUCUGGCUCUAAGCGUAGUAAUUCUUCUCGCUAUGGAGUCCUGGUGGAUGCUUGCCAUCAACCCCCAAUUUUUCUAUGGUUGACCUCGGAUCAGGUAGGGAUACCCGCUGAACUUAAGCAUAUCAAUAAGCGGAGGA